CACGUCAGCGCGACCUGCUGACGUGGAAGGAAAUUGUGCCCUUGAGGGAGCGUUUCCUUCCACGUCAGCAGGUCGUACUGACGUGG
rfam:Gossypium hirsutum cultivar TM-1 chromosome 22, whole genome shotgun sequence